GGAGGGUGUGGGCCUCAGCGGGGGGCCAGGCCGACACACACUGCCCAACCUGAUUACACCUGGAGACUCCCCCAGGCAGCACAGAGGCCAGGUUGGACCACAAAGGAACGUACGUUCCUUCAAUCUCAGUCUCACCGGUGACUGGCCCUGCGCUGUGCAGUCAGCGACCCUCUGUGGCAUCAGGAACUGAGUUGCAGAGAACUCCUGCUGAGUUCCAAGGCAAGGCCACGAAGCCUGAGUGACUCUGGACGGUUAGCAGCAGUGGUCAGGGGAAAGACAUCCAGACCCGGAUGCCGUGCCGGGAGGAGGGAGUCAGGCACUGUGUAAAGGCAGCAUGAACUGGGAGAAUACAGCAGGUACCGUCCUCCACCCAGAGCAUCUCCUGACCCCAGCACAAUUCACACGAUGCAGUUCUCCAUCUCAUGUCCCCAGCAAGCCACCUCCACACCGUUGAGAGCUGCGCAGCCUCCAAUCUGAGUUGCCCCUUGGUGCUCCUAGGAACCAAGGUCAAUCCCGGGCUUCUUCUCUCAGGUUCCUUACUACAGCAGGCUCGAGGGCCUCUCAUGUGUGUCACCUCCAAGCGACCCUCUGACUCCUGGGGCACUCCUUCCUCCAGCCUCUGGGACAACUAGCAGAGCUUACCCAGACUGCACAGAAGCCCAUGCAGUAAGUAAGCAGCCUCCAACAACUUGUCGGAUAGCAGCCCAGGUUCACCUACCUCAUCACCAUCUCUGGACAAUAGAAUUUGGGUGAAUAGAGGACUCCGCCAUCUUGAAUACAGCUGUCACCUUAACCAACUGAAUCUAAGCACUUGUGGGUGUGGGGUAUAGGUGUGGGGGUGCAUAGGUACAUGUCUUCAUAUAUGGUGGCCAGAUAUGUGGUGGCCACAUCCUGAAUGUGUGUCCGUAGGCCCUAUCUACAUCAUUAUGUUUUAACCACUUGUCUCUGUCUCCUCAUCCCCGGCCAUUACCAUAGCCAUUUUUUGUUUGAUUGUUUCGUCGGAUGGGUUGUCUGUUGUUGAUGUUUUAUUGUUGUUUUUGUGGGUUCUGGAAAUCAGUUCUGCAUCCUUGCAAAGCAAACAAACUCACUAUUCAUCUUUGAGCUCAGGUAAGGCCAACAUAUUUGGAUCACAGGGUGCAGAGAGGGUUGGAACAUACACCUGGAAUUGUGUUAAUAUACAUACAUGAAUGUAGGCGUGUAACUGUCUUCCUUUUAGGACCCCAAAGCUAAUGCCCCUGAGCUAGCGCCAUGGGGACAGAAAGGAGGAAGCGUAUAUUGUUGUAUGGAAGGUAAACACAGAACACAUCACACAAGACACAGAGCUCCCAGUUCACCAUUCAGCCAUAAUCCCACACAUCUGAUUCAUUCAUCAAAUGCUCGCCGAGGGCUUGCCCAGUGGCAGGCAUGAGGUGCAGGGGUCAGAGCGAGGAUGGAGAGGUAACACCCACUUGCACAGUCCUCACCCUUAUCCACGGUUUUCUUCUCCAUGGUUUCAGUUCCAUGAAGUCAAAUGUACUCUGACAACAUUAGUAUUUAUCUCAAGUCUUUAAAGGGAGAUCAUUAUCAUGAUAAGGUAUCAUAAUUGUUUUCAUAGUCAUAUUUUAUUCCUGGCCAUUGAAUUAAUCACCUACCUGCCUAUUCAUAGAUCAAGCUCUAUCGCUGGUGCAUAUGCACAGAACACAGCUUUACAGAGCUCAGCAUUAAGGUGCGAUUCCAAGUGGCCAUUGGGGUUUUGUAACUCUGCCUUCAGACAAAGAGGACCCAGCUCCACUCUUGGUGCCAUUUCUCUGGCAGAGCUACUCAUGCAGCCCUGGCCCCAUAGAGUGACAGUUCCUGAGAACUUGCCCUCUCUGGUCAUUAUACUCUGAUUAUAUUUGCAAACAACCCACCAUGGGAGUGAGUCCCUGAGUCCCAGUCGUUUCCUUGUCAUGGUGCCCAGGAGGGCAGGAAUUCAUCCAGCCCUGAAACUGCCACACCAAGAGCUUGCAGAGAGUUUUUUUAAAAAAUCAUUUGGGUUUCUUCUCUUUUUGUAGGUAUGUAAUAAAGCUUUUUACAAAUAUCCAUUGGUAUUUCAUUAGGCCAUCGAAGACGUGCAUUUGUUCGUGUGCUUUUAUGACCAUCUUUACUAUCUAUAAACACUGCAGAAUUUUGAUAUUGACAAAAUCCAGUUCUAGCAAUUCUUGCUUAAGGAUGGUGAAUUUAUUUAAUUUUUUUUGUUUUACAGUUUAUUUGUUUGUGUGCAUGCACGUGUGUGUAUGUGGUGGCCUGGUAAUGACCACUAGAAGGCAAUUGUCGUCUUCUACCAUUUGUAGGUCUGGGGAUCAAAGACAGGACACAAGGCUUGGUGAUCCAAAUUUAGUUUUCACACACAUGUAGAGCAGCUCACACUGCCCAUAGUACCCGCUCUUGGGGAAGUGCUGGUGUUGGUGAGCUAGCCCUGACGUGCUUCCCUGUCCCUGUUGCCUAUGGUGCCACAACAUGUGCUAGGUCGAGGGGCUCACUU
rnacentral:sRNA from 1 species